rnacentral:rRNA from 1 species
UACGGAGGGCGCGAGCGUUGUUCGGAAUCACUGGGCGUAAAGCGCGCGUAGGCGGUUACGUAAGUCGAUUGUGAAAGCCCGAGGCUCAACUUCGGGACGCCAGUCGAUACUGCGUGACUAGAGCAUGGUAGAGGCAAGUGGAAUUCCCGGUGUAGCGGUGGAAUGCGUAGAUAUCGGGAAGAACACCAGUGGCGAAGGCGACUUGCUGGGCCAUUGCUGACGCUGAGGUGCGAAAGCGUGGGGAGCAAACAGGAUUAGAAACCCGAGUAGUCC